rfam:Acidovorax sp. Leaf78 contig_12, whole genome shotgun sequence.
AGCGGGGUACGCAACUGGCGAUAGGCGCAGCUCCUGUACGGGACUGCCGCUGACGUGGAAACCGACAAGGGCUGGCCUCUUGUGAACCACUGGGGAGCGUGCCGCACGGGUGUCAUGCCCGCCGCGUUCAGCCGUUCGCCUGGGCAGCCCUU